rnacentral:tRNA from 1 species
GGCGCUGUAGCUCAAGUGGUAGAGUGCUUGCCUUGCAUGCCUGACGCCCUGGGUUCGAUUCCUCAGCACCA